UACAGAGGUCUCAAGCGUUGUUCGGAUUCAUUGGGCGUAAAGGGUGCGUAGGCGGCGCGGUAAGUCGGAUGUGAAAUCUCGGAGCUUAACUUCGAAACUGCAUUCGAUACUGCCGUGCUUGAGGACUGGAGAGGAGACUGGAAUUUACGGUGUAGCGGUGAAAUGCGUAGAUAUCGUAAGGAAGACUAGUGGCGAAGGCGGGGUCUCUGGACAGUUCCUGACGCUGAGGCACGAAGGCCAGGGGGAGCAAAACGGGG
rnacentral:rRNA from 1 species